GACGAACGCUGGCGGCGUGCUUAACACAUGCAAGUCGAACGGAAAGGCCCUGCUUUUGUGGGGUGCUCGAGUGGCGAACGGGUGAGUAACACGUGAGUAACCUGCCCUUGACUUUGGGAUAACUUCAGGAAACUGGGGCUAAUACCGGAUAGGAGCUCCUGCUGCAUGGUGGGGGUUGGAAAGUUUCGGCGGUUGGGGAUGGACUCGCGGCUUAUCAGCUUGUUGGUGGGGUAGUGGCUUACCAAGGCUUUGACGGGUAGCCGGCCUGAGAGGGUGACCGGCCACAUUGGGACUGAGAUACGGCCCAGACUCCUACGGGAGGAAGAAGUGGGGAAUAUUGCACAAUGGGCGGAAGCCGGAUGCAGCAACGCCGCGUGCGGGAUGACGGCCUUCGGGUUGUAAACCGCUUUCGCCUGUGACGAAGCGUGAGUGACGGUAAUGGGGAAAGAAGCACCGGCUAACUACGU
rnacentral:rRNA from 1 species